GUUUUAAUUUUUUCAUGAAUAACCCUAAAUGUUAUGCCACUGCCGGACUAUCAAUCUUCGUCGAACAUGUUACAGUGAACACGACCAGAGGCAAACUAAUAGUGUUUCGGUAAGCUUAUAAAUUUUCCAUAGAGAAGAAACGAAUGGAGAAGCAUUCUUAGAGUUUCUGGUGCAUUUUCUUGCUGUCAAAAGAUGCAAUUCUUUAUGGUUUUAAUGGUUGUCAA